rnacentral:rRNA from 1 species
GAAGGUGGCAAGCGUUAUUCGGAUUUACUGGGCGUACAGGGAGCGUAGGCGGUUUGGUAAGCCCUCUGUGAAAUCUCCAGGCUUAACCUGGAAAAGUCGGAGGGGACUGCUGGGCUAGAGGACGGGAGAGGAGCGCGGAAUUCCCGGUGUAGCGGUGAAAUGCGUAGAGAUCGGGAGGAACACCGGUGGCGAAGGCGGCUCUCUGGACUGAAACUGACGCUGAGGCGCGAAAGCUAGGGGAGCAAACGGGAUUAGAUACCCCGGUAGUCCUAGCUGUAAACGAUGGGCACUUGGUGUUGCGGGUAUCGACCCCUGCAGUGCCGAAGCUAACGCAUUAAGUGCCCCGCCUGGGGAGUACGGUCGCAAGGCUG